rnacentral:rRNA from 1 species
AGUGAACGCUGGCGGUAGGCCUAACACAUGCAAGUCGAACGGCAGCACAGUAAGAGCUUGCUCUUACGGGUGGCGAGUGGCGGACGGGUGAGGAAUACAUCGGAAUCUACUUUUUCGUGGGGGAUAACGUAGGGAAACUUACGCUAAUACCGCAUCCGACCUACGGGUGAAAGCAGGGGAUCUUCGGACCUUGCGCGAUUGAAUGAGCCGACGUCGGAUUAGCUAGUUGGCGGGGUAAAGGCCCACCAAGGCGACGAUCCGUAGCUGGUCUGAGAGGAUGAUCAGCCACACUGGAACUGAGACACGGUCCAGACUCCUACGGGAGGCAGCAGUGGGGAAUAUUGGACAAUGGGCGCAAGCCUGAUCCAGCCAUACCGCGUGGGUGAAGAAGGCCUUCGGGUUGUAAAGCCCUUUUGUUGGGAAAGAAAAGCAGCAGGUUAAUACCCCGCUGUUCUGACGGUACCCAAAGAAUAAGCACCGGCUAACUUCGUG